rnacentral:rRNA from 1 species
CCUACGGGUGGCAGCAGUGAGGAAUAUUGGUCAAUGGCCGGAAGGCUGAACCAGCCAAGCCGCGUGAAGGACGAAGGUGCCAAGCAUUGUAAACUUCUUUUGUCAAGAGACAAAAUCAGGCUGGAGAGCAUGACCGAGGGUACUUGAAGAAAAAGCAUCGGCAAACUCCGGUCCGACAGCCGCGGUAAUCGGGAGGAUGCGAGCGUUAUCCGGAUUUAUUGGGGUUAAAGGGUGCGUAGGCGGGCUGUUAAGUCAGCGGUAAAAGCCCGGGGCUAAACCCCGGCGAGCCGUUGAAACUGGCUGUCUUGAGAUGUCGAGAGGGAUGCGGAAUGCGCAGUGUAGCGGUGAAAUGCGUAGAUAUUGGGAAGAACUCCAGUGGCGAAGGCAGAAUACCGGCGACGAUCUGACGCUGAGGCACGAAAGCGUGGGUAGCGAACAGGAUUAGAUACCCCUGUAGUC